CAAGAGUCCAAAAUAAGCCACACUAACCCUCUUCUUCUAUAUUCACUUGUAAACUAUUUAUCGUCCUCCUGUUCCUGAUUUGAUAUUCUUGACAGGUGAAGGGCGUGAGCGCAAAGGAGACUCAGAAGCAAUACGGAUGCGGAAGUUGUACAGGCACGGAGAAUGCUCGACUUGCAGGCAAGCUCUGCAAGCUCUCAUGGCUUUACUAUGAGGAAGGUGGUCCAAUCUUCCGUUUUUGGACUCCUCGAGGCGUUGCUACUUUUGGGAGGGCAUUCCAACUAUAUCGCGCCAUACUAUUGUUUCCGCUUUCCGUUAAUAAUGUWAGUAUAUCUGACACAUCCCCUGCUUAAAGGACUUCCAUUUUCUUUUAAUUCCUUCAGAUAAGUGACUGACUAUUUCUCGUCAUGCUUUGACUGGUGGCUCGACUGGAAAUUGGCCGUCAUUCAAGAUAGGGCUAUGAACGGGUGGGAUCCGGGUCCGGUCUAGGUAGAAGCACUCCCGAGUAGAUCAUUAAUUGGGACAAAAGCUUAGACCCAAAACCGUCGAUUUUAACUUAAAACUUAGGUUGAAAGAAAAGCAUAGGUUUAAAACCGAACCAUUUAAG